rnacentral:misc_RNA from 1 species
GUGUUUGAUACUUCAUAGAGUCCUGUUACAUGGAGUAAGAAAUUCAGACAUCUCAAAUUGAAUAUUGAAACAACAUAAAUUAAGCAAGAAUUUGUUGGAUGAAACCAAAAAUUCUAACAAAAGCUUUCUGAUAGGAUGGAUGACACCUCAAAUUCAAAACUUAUUUGUGAAUCCUUAUAGUGCUUUGAGACAGUAUAAAACAAUUAGCUAUUGUAGUAUGUCCAUCAUAUUUAUGAUCAUGAUGUGAAUCAGAAGCUUUUCAAGAGAGAGAGAGAAAAAAAAAGAAGAGGACUGCAGGAGGAGGAAGUAAAUUAGCCAGUGAUUCAGCAACUCAAUAACAAUAACAACAUCAAUGGUGAAAGCGGUGGUGGGAGACGAAACCAACUCAAUUUAGCCGAAGAUCGCCUCAGUCAAUCUGGUCUCACCUCUCAGGUGGAUCUGAUUAUAGGCAAGCUCAGCUCUUCACUAGGCCGGGGCUUCGUCUACGAUUUGGUCCCUACCCCUCCCAAUGAUGCCGGUGAGCCAGCUUGCUCGCUUAUCGAGACCACUACCACCGCCACUUUCAAAGACGAUAAGAAAAAGGGAUCCAAACCCAAA